UACGUAGGGUGCGAGCGUUGUCCGGAAUCAUUGGGCGUAAAGAGCGUGUAGGCGGUUCAGUAAGUCUGCUGUGAAAAGUCCAGGGGCUCAACCCUGGGAUGCCGGUCGAUACUGCCGGACUAGAGUUCGGAAGAGGCGAGUGGAAAUUCCCCGGUGUAGCGGUGAAAAUGCGCAGAUAUCGGGGAGGGAAACACCCUAUGGGCGAAA
rnacentral:rRNA from 1 species